UUGCUUGUACCUAUGUCCUGAAUGGUUUUGCCUAGGUUGUCUUCCCGGCUUUUUAUAGUUUUGGGUUUUACAUUUAAGUUUUGAAUCCAUCUUGAGUAGAAUUUUGUGUAUAGUGUAAGAAAGGGGUUCAGCUUCAGUCUUCAGCAUACACCUAGCCAAUUAUCCCAGCACCAUUAAUUGAAAAAGGAGUCUUUUCCCUUUUGAGCAUUCGCGUUUCUCAGAGUUGCAUUUUAUUUUGUAUCUCUAAGUGUAAAUUGAGAAAAUAUAUGUUCUAAGGGACCUGGGAAGUGACCAUUCAUCUUUUCUCUGAAAAUCUUUAUCAUAGGUUUUUCUACCGUGGGGAUUGAAAGCAUGAGGGUCCAUAUUCGAGACUUGAGAGGAUUGUACAUGAGAUUUUGUGCUUACCUAAUGUAGACUGAAUUAAGAAGAGAUGACUUUUAAGUGACAUUAAGGAAGUGGUGUUAAUUGGCCUACUCUAUAAGUUUAUAUUAAAUUGGGUUCUGAGCGAGAGCUUUGGGAUUCGUGUUCAUCUAGUUUUCUUGCCUGAGCUUCUUUUACUACCUUAUAGUAUUUAAUGAACUACUUCUAUUUGCUUCCUUGUUGUG